rnacentral:piRNA from 1 species
UGACAUAAUGGUUUCAGGUUUCUAAGUC